GAUGAACGCUGGCGGCGUGCCUAAUACAUGCAAGUCGAGCGGACCAAAGAGAGCUUGCUCUCUGAGGUUAGCGGCGGACGGGUGAGUAACACGUGGGUAACCUGCCUGUAAGACGGGGAUAACUUCGGGAAACCGAAGCUAAUACCGGAUGAUAAAGAGAAACGCCUGUUUCUUUUUUGAAAGUCGGCCUUGUGCUGACGCUUACAGAUGGGCCCGCGGCGCAUUAGCUAGUUGGUGAGGUAACGACUCACCAAGGCGACGAUGCGUAGCCGACGUGAGAGGGUGAUCGGCCACACUGGGACUGAGACACGGCCCAGACGCCUACGGGAGGCAGUAGUAGGGAAUCUUCGGCAAUGGACGAAAGUCUGACCGAGCAACGCCGCGUGAGCGAUGAAGGCCUUCGGGUCGUAAAGCUCUGUUGUCAGAGAAGAACAAGUACCGGAGUAACUGCCGGUACCUUGACGGUACCUGACCAGAAAGCCACGGCUAACUACGUGCCAGCCGCCGCCGUAA
rnacentral:rRNA from 1 species